UCGUUGAAUCGAGUAGGGGUAAGUUGAGC
rnacentral:sRNA from 1 species